rnacentral:rRNA from 1 species
CAUUACCGAACUGUCAACAUGAGCUGUUGCUGGUCCUCAUAUGGGGGCAUGUGCACGCUCUGUUCACACAUCCAUUCACACCUGUGCACCCUCUGUAGUUCUAUGGCCUGGGGGACUCUGUCCUCUUGCUGUGGUCCUAUGUCUUUACACACACACUGUAAUAAAGUCUCAUGGAAUGUACAUCGCGUUUAACGCAAUACAAUACAACUUUCAGCAACGGAUCUCUUGGCUCUCGCAUCGAUGAAGAACGCAGCGAAAUGCGAUAAGUAAUGUGAAUUGCAGAAUUCAGUGAAUCAUCGAAUCUUUGAACGCACCUUGCGCCCUUUGGCUAUUCUGAAGGGCAUGCCUGUUUGAGUAUCAUGAACAUCUCAACUCUCAUGGUUUACCAUGAUGAGCUUGGACUUUGGGGGUCUUGCCGACCAGCGGUCGGCUCCUCUCAAACAAAUUAGCUUGCCAGUGUUUGGUGGCAUCACAGGUGUGAUAACUAUCUACGCUUGUGGUUUCCUGCCAGGUAUCCUUCAGCAAUGGAGGUUCACUGGAGCUCAUAAAUGUCUCUCCCCAGCGAGGACAGCUUCUUGAACGUUUGAUCUCAAAUCAGGUAGGACUACCC